rnacentral:lncRNA from 1 species
CUGGGUUGGGGGAGGCAGAAGAGCUGCCCGGGCUACGCAGGCCAAGGCAAGACCAAGCUGGAUUUGAGCCCAUGCUGUUCUGACCACAAAGCCACCCUCUGUUGUCCACGUGACACUCCAGUGCCACAGGCUGGGAGUGCCCCAGGAGCACUGGAGUUCCUGUAGGUCCCAUAGCUCUUCCUAUGGGUGGAGGUGAGGGGUGCACAGGAAACUCUUCCUGCCUGGAGAAGGUGCAUGCACACGUGCGUAAGGCAUUCAGCUCUGUGAAUAAAAGCAUUCUGCUGAUUUCUGCUGCCCUGUAUCCAGACGGAAGGAAUGGAUCCAUGUUGCAGCUGGGAGCAUGGGGAAAUCUGGACACGCACUUCACCAAAAUGAGACAACUGUGGCAGGAGACAGGCUAAGGCGAGUGGGGACAAAUCAAUGUGCUGGAUGCCCUGGUGUACCUGUGACGAAGAAGCAGGAGCUGGGAAGAGAGAGGAAAAGGAAAUAGACAAGUGAAUAAAUAAAUAAGAGUUCAGAAACCCCGUCUCCACCAAAAAUACAAGAAAUUAGGUGGGCAUGGUGCUGGUGCCUGUAGUCCCAGCUAUUCGGGAGGCUGAGGC